rnacentral:tRNA from 1 species
GCAACGGUGGUCUAGCGGUUAGAACGCUGGCCUUGUAAUCCUGGGGUCUCGGGUUCGAUUCCCGGCGGUGCC